UAUUCAAACAAAUUUAAUUUACCAAAUUAAAUUCUUACUUCCAAAUUCCGAUGUUCAAGUAGAAACAAACUCUGUUGGCAUGCAUGUUACGUACACUAUGCAUGCACUGCAACAGUCCAGGUACUAUAGCCCAAUGCGCCAUCUUUUUCUUCCUCUUUUUCCAUGAUUUUUUCGGGACUUACCCACAGCAUGUGAAGUCCGUUAUGAUUUCAUCCCUACAUGGUAUCCAUCCAUUUGUAUGCCACCAUUCAGUAUUUUGAUCUCCUAUUGAAAAUCGUCCAAAUGAUGGAAGGAGCUAUAUAGAAACAGUGGUACUCAGCUAAGAGAUGGAGAUAGUGCUUUCUUUUGCUUAAACCCUGCAUUUCUGAAUCCUGAUAACUUCCAAUCCUAUGAAGUACUCAAGGUUAAUCAUGGCCUUCCCCUAGCUAAGCUGGUUUCCUUCCUAGUGCUCACGUUCAUACUUCCAACUCUCAACCAUGGAAGUGGGAGUGCAUGAUUAA
rnacentral:lncRNA from 1 species